GGAAGAUUGUCCGAGUGGUUGAAGGAGGCAGUCUUGAAAACUGUUGAGGAUUCACGUCCUCCGUGGGUUCGAAUCCUACAUCUUCCG
rnacentral:tRNA from 2 species